UCUCUCAAAAGCAGCUGAGCUCGCGCUCUGGCUAGAGAAGGCAGAGGGCUGCGGCACAACGGACAUUGUCUCAGACAUCAGGACAGUUUCCAUUGCAGUUUAGGAAAGAAGGCAGCUCCCUGGGCUGGAAAUGACGCAACACUCUGGAAAGACCCUUGGGUGCGGGUGAGAGAGGCAACCCAGCUGCAUAGGGCCAAUGAGAGGAGGCCGAACCACCCGAUUUGGACAAAGGAGUUCCUACCAUAUUUUAUUUGCAAGCCAUUUCUCCCACAUUAUUCUGGAAGGCUGAAGCCUGUCGAUGCAUCCAAAAAUAGAUCUGUCCUGGAUCUUUUCUCACAAGUCAGCCAGCUGUCAAGACACCUGAGAUGUGAUUCUUUCACAUGGCAGAGCCUCUCGUCAAAACAUGAACUGAGCUUCCUCUUAUCUUAUGGACAGCUGAUGCGUGGAGGUGGAUUUAUGAAUUGGCCUCAUGCUGCACUCAAGCAGUUUGGCCAGGACUCAAUGCUCAUUGCCAAGAUGAAAAUCAGCAAACUAGCAGUUUGCUUUUAUGAUGUUCUCCAGCCUGCAACCAAGACACUUAUCCUGGCCACUUCUUCAGCUCUGACAUAAGGUUGUGCUGAUAUAAAUGCAAACCCAGCUCUAUGUCUACCAAACACCUAUAUGGCUAGGACUGCAAAUGGAGCAUUUAAGCACCAGGCAAGAGGUCUUCCCAGUUUCCAACCAGACUUUGUAGAAUUUCCCCAAAAUACUGACUUAGCCUCUUUCAGACCCUAUCUCCCAAAGAGAAUCAGAGAGGGGCUCUGGAAGCCAUUUAGACUGUCUGGCCUCUUCCCUAGUGAAAAUGGACUUGGAUACAAAAAGGCAACCUACUGACCUCAAAGAUACCAGCCCAGAUACUGAGCAUGGACCUCCUGCCUCCCCAGGACAGACGUCAUCUAAGCCAGAUCAAAGCCCACACUGUUCCUCCAUGUGCACCUUUCAGACAUGUUCCUGAACAGCCCUCUAGAAUUGUCUGGAGAUGGGACAAGAGGUGAUGGAGCUCCAGGUUCAGAAUGGCUGCCUCAUCCCUCCCUCCUGAAAAGUCUAUACCUGCUGAUUAGAGCUCUCACACCUUAAGGGGCUUAGCCCUCCCCAAGCAGACACGUGGCGGGGUGCAGUGGCUCACGC